UGCGGCACACCUCGAGGAGGCCGAGACCUCCGCUACUUCCGAAUCUAGUGAGGUCCGUGACUUUUGGACCCAGCUUGCGGUCCUCACUGAUCUGUUGGCGCAGCAGACGGCAGCGGCGCAACGACAGGCUAAGGUGGCUCAGCGGCAGGAGAUGUGGAUGAAGCAUAUUGAGGACCUCCUACUUCAGCAGGCGGCAGCUUCGAGGGAGACCCAGGUUCCCACACCGCCAGCACCCGUGGUGGACGUCGCACCGAGGGCGCAGUCCCGCGCUCCCAGUUCUUCACGUGCGGCGCCGGCGAUCACACCUCGGGAGGAGGUGGCUGCGGCACUCCCAGUUCAGAGACCGGCCACGAGGGCAGCUUUCCCCGUGAGGGCCGAGGGAGCCGAGCGGGAUCGGCUCAUGGAUCGCCUCAGUGAUUUUAGAAGGUGCAGCCCGAGGACGUUUGAUGGCGAGAACGUCGACCACUGGAUUGUUGAGAAGUGGUUGAUGCACAUGGAGAAGCUUUUUCGAGACACUUUUGUGGAGGAGCGGGACAGAGUUUGGCUCGCCACUCACUUUCUCGACGGCGAGGCCUACCGUUGGUGGUUGGAUAUCCAGGACAACCCCAACACUGACUUGGCGGCGAUUACUUGGACGAGGUUCAAGGAGCUCCUUCUGGCGCACUACUUUCCGACCAGCGUCAAGAGGAAGAUGGAGCAGGAUUUGCGCGGCUUGCGCCAGGACGAGCGGUCAGUGGCCGAGUACGAGAGGGAGUUCUCCCGGCUACGUCACUGUGUACCGUUUGUUGUGAGGGAUGACAGGGACAAGGCCAGCAUUUUUUAGCGCGGAUUACGGCCUUCUAUCUUCCGGUUGGUGCAGUCUUCCAACCUCCAGAUCUAUCGGGAGGUUGUGGAUCGAGCAUUGAUUGUAGAGGCUGGAGCGGCAGAUCUUCAGGAGCGUCGCGAGAGCUCGGAGAAGGGGAAGGGAAAGAGGCCCGCGGCUGAGAGUGCGAGUCAAACGCACUCACGAAGGCCGCCGAGGCACCCCAGGAGCCAGAGGCAGUCGCAGGGACGUGGCUCGUCUACUCAGCGAGGAGGACCCGACCGUCGCCAGGCCCCCCGCUGCGUGAUCUGUGGCGGUCCUCAUUAUACGCAGCACUGUUCACGUAGCCGGAGCAGGUGCUUCUUGUGUGGCCAGGAGGGCCACUUUCAGUCGGACUGCCUGAGGAGUCCAUCGCCAGCGCCAUCUUCGGCAUCUGCACCAGCAUCGCCAGGUCCCAGCCAGGGGACAUCUUCUGCGCAUCACCAGGCCGGUCGGCCACCUGUCCAGCGGCAGACGGAGGGGUCACGACAGGCCCCGAGCGGGCGCAUGUACGCGGCCCAGACUGAGGAGGCGGCGGCAGCCGAGAAUGUGGUCGCAGGUAUCAUUUUACUUCAUGGUAUUCGAGUUAGAGCUUUGUUUGAUACCGGUGCAUCGCAUUCAUUCAUAGACCGGCUGUUUGCCGAGUUGCAUGGCAUCCCACUUGUAUCCUUGUUGCAUCCUGGACGAGUUGUUGUACCCGACCAUUCUUUGGACAUCCAAGAGUUUUGCCCCAGUUGCCCUGUUCGGGUUGGAAAUUGGAUCAUGCCCGUAGACUUGCUAGCUUUGCAUAAACUCGGGGAGUUUGAUGUUGUGCUGGGCAUGGAUUGGUUGACCAAGUACUACGCCACCAUUGAUUGCAAGAAUCGAACGGUGACGUUUAGAGAGCCGGGGCAGGCGGAGGUUGUGUACCGAGGAUGCCAGAGUUCGCUGUUUGCGAUGACGAUUAGCUCUUCUCGAGCUCGGCAGUUGAUUAGUAGAGGCUGCGUAGCCUACUUGGCUACUGUUGUGUUGCGGGGUGAGGAUGACACCCCUAGGAUUGAGGAUAUCCCCGUAGUGCGGGAGUUUGGAGAUAUGUUCCCAGCGGAGCUUCCAAGCAUGCCACCUGAUAGGGAGAUUGAGUUUGUGGUAGAUCUCGUUCCCGGGACUACUCCAAUCUCAAAGGCACCCUAUAGGAUGGCACCAGCAGAAUUGAAGGAGCUGAAGGCACAGUUAUAGGAUCUUCUGGACAAGGGUUUUGUGCGACCGAGUGUGUCACUUUGGGGAGCACCGGUUUUGUUUGUGAAGAAGAAGGAUGGAUCACUACGCUUGUGCGUGGACUAUCGUGAACUUAAUAAAGUCACGAUCAAGAACAAGUAUCCAUUACCGAGGAUUGAUGAUCUAUUUGAUUAGCUCCAGGGAUCUUGUGUAUAUUCCUAGAUUGAUUUGCAGUCGGGAUACCACCAGUUGAUGAUCAAACCUGAGGAUGUGUCGAAUACGACUUUUAGAACACGGUAUGGAUAUUAUGAGUUUACCGUUAUGCCGUUUGGGCUUACUAAUGCUCCGGCAGCUUUUAUGGAUUUAAUGAACCGUGUUUUCAAGCCUUAUUUAGACAGGUUUGUCAUGGUGUUCAUCGACGACAUUUUGGUCUAUUCCCGAAGUGAUGUGGAUCACGAGGAACACUUGAGACUUGUACUUCAAGUGCUUCGGAAAAAGAAGCUCUAUGCCAAGUUGACAAAGUGUGAGUUUUGGCUUAGAGAGGUGGCGUUUUUGGGCCAUGUGAUUUCAGGAUCAGGGAUAGUUGUGGAUCCAAGGAAAAUUGAAGCUGUCAAGAAUUGGCCGAGGCCGACGAGUGUGACCGAGAUACGGAGCUUCAUUGGUUUAGCCGGCUACUACAGGCGGUUCGUUGAGGGAUUUGCAAAGUUAUCUACCCCCCUCACGAGGCUCACGCAUAAAGGCACCAAGUUCAUUUGGAAUGAUGCGUGUGAAAGGAGCUUCCAAGAGUUGAAGCAGAGACUGACUACCGCCCCGAUCCUAACCUUGCCGACUGCCGGAGCAGGGUAUGUGAUUUAUAGUGAUGCUUCUUUUAACGGAUUGGGCUGUGUUUUGAUGCAGGACGGGAAAGUGAUCGCGUAUGCAUCUCGCCAAUUGAAGGAUUAUGAAAGGAAUUACCCCACUCACGACUUGGAGUUGGCGGCCGUGGUUUUUGCAUUAAAGCUAUGGCGCCAUUAUUUAUAGGGCGAGCGGUGCGAAGUAUAUACGAAUCACAAGAGCUUAAAGUAUUUAUUCACUCAGAAAGAGUUGAACUUGAGGCAGCGCAGAUGGUUGGAGCUACUCAAGGAUUACGACCUGACGAUUCUUUACCACCCGGGCAAGGCUAACGUGGUGGCGGAUGCGCUAAGUCGGAAAUCGACGGAGAACUUAGCGAUGCUUGUGGUUACUCAACUGCCGUUGAUCAAGCAGAUGAAGCGGCUGGAGUUGGAGGUGGUGGCUCCUGAUACACCUUUGAGACUUAUGACUUUGGUGGUGCAAUCUACACUUAUAGAAAAAAUUAAAGAAAAGCAAGUCUCCGAUGUUGAGUUGCAAAGGAUUCAAGCUAAGAUGGUUGAUGGUUGCACCGGUGAUUUCACUUUAGACGGUGAUGGAUUGAUGCGUUUCCGCGGACGACUUUGUGUACCGGCGGUGUCACGACCCGCGACCACCCGCCUAUUUGGCCGAGGUCGCGACGUCGACAGCGCAGAACGAACAGGGUUUCCCCUGUACUGCGGACAGAGUCUCCCCUGUACGUUCAAGGCAUCGCAAUCAAUACAAUACAAAGGUUCCAAACAGGAACAAUAUCAAUCAAGAUUGCAAGUGGAAGGUAUCAUACAACAUAAACACAUCCUAAGUUAUUACAUUCAUUCACUUUCAUAGUUUUUACUCACAAUUUCUAUUCUUUUUCAUCCAAAUGCAAUCUAAGUUAUUACAACAUUUACUUACUACAAGUUUGAUACAUUGUAUUCUUUUCAUUUCCCAUACCUCUAAGCUAUAUCGACAGGGUACUGCUAGCUCUGGUCUCCGGGUAGGGCGCUAUCUAUGGAUCUACGCCCUUUCCUCGCGCCGCUGCGCCGCUCUCGUGCGAACCUGUAACCCCCAAAACAACGUGGGGUGAGAACCAACUCCAUGGUUCCCAGUGGGUACGGCCACCCAAGGGAAAAGCUCGACCAAAAGGUCCAAGGAGGCACUGCAAUCAUGUUAGUCCAAAAACAUCUAUAGAUAUAUAAAUCAUAAUGUUAAUAAGCAACUAACAGAUAACAUGCCUCACAACGUGCAAUAUGAAUAUUAUGCAGUUCUAUGCAAUCAAGCAACCAUUCAGUAGAUCUAUUGAUUCUACAUUCAGCUUUACUAACUUUAGCUCAUGUCAUUUAGCCUCUAAGGUUCUACUACCUUAGCUCACAACUCAAGUUCACAUUGCCUCUAAGGUCUCUAUUACCUUAGUUCUUACCAUUAUCACUAGCUUAUAAGGUUUCUAUUAACCUAAUCGAGCUAACCACCCGACUCGGCCUCGAGUCAAUCAUCCACGGAUAGUCCGCGCACUGGCCGCACUCUGUGACUUAACCAGCUGGCGGCGAAGUCAUCGCACACGCCGAACACUGGUUCAAGUCCCUCAACUUGGCCACCUGGUGGCAAACGAAUCGCACCUCACCCAACAAUGGCUCAAGUCGAUCUGGCGGCAUAAUCCACAAACUGGCUUAACCAUUCGGCGGCGAAAUCGUUGCACACGCCACGUCAAUGGUUCAAGCCCCGGGCGGUGAUCUCAGUGCACUCACCUCCCAAUCCAUCCUUGGUAUCAACCUCGACGGCGAAAUUGUCGCACACGCCCUAGCCUUGAUACCAAGGUUAUCAAAGAUUCUGGGAUUCCGGAAUCCACUUUUCACAAGUCGAGGGUCCAUAGCCAACCCUAUACCGUCGACCUAGCUCAUCCUAGUGGCUAUACCACUCUACUCAUCAAACUAGGUUUCAAACACUCUAGGUUCUAUGUCCAUGUCACUUAACCUAGUUAUAAAUGCUAGGUUCAUGUCCUCGUAGCCUAGAUGUCCAUUUCUAGGUUUACUAGUUCGACCUAGGUUUACUAACACUAGGUUCGAUGCCACACACCUAGAUUAUUCAAUUCUAGGUUUACGUAUUUAACCUAUGUCCUUUAACACUAGGUUAGAUGCCACUCGAUCUACCUGACAACCUAGUUGUCCACUUAAGCAUUCUACAUUACCAUUUUCCGUUGUCGAGUUUUCUACUCAUUCUAGAUUAUCAAUUCCCUUCAUAUGCAUAUCCUCACAAUGCUACUCAUGUAUUUAUGCAGCUAUCUAGCAUUACAUAGCAUGCAUUAUAUGAUCUAUAUCAUUUAUAUGGACCUACUUAGCAUUUGCAUCAUAUUAUUAACAUGCAUCACUUAGCAUUAGCUACAUGCGCCAUUCACAUGCCUCGUUCACAUUUAUAUGCAUCAACAUGGGUUCUUAAUCAUCUUAGACAUAAAGGUGACCUAGUCGCUUCGGUAAGCACAACCCACCUUAACUCGCGUUCCGAUUGCUCGUCGACACUUGCAAUCGGCCUCCCGCGGCCUCCCGCGGCACUCGGCACUCGUUUGGGCCCGAUCUCACAGUUGCUCUCCAAGAGCGCGCCGCUUCGCCGUCUCAAGUGCUAACGGUCUUCGCCUUGCUGCUACGGUGCUCGGGAUCCAAUCCCAUGAUUUUACGACGUCGCCUCGGCCCUCCCGGCAGACCCGAAGCUUAAACGUCUAUUUCUUUAAUAACUUUGUAACGGCUCGUCAGAUUGCCGAACCGUCUUCGCCAACGCGUUUUGUUACCUAGCAAUUAGGUUUACAGAGGGUUGAAUGAGAUCAAACCCUCAUAUUUGCCAAAACCCCAUUUCGGAGCCCUAGAUUCCAAUUAGGUAAAAACCUAUCUUUAAAUCUCUAGAUUCUAGCAUUAAACAUCUAUUAAGCUUGCUAGGAAUCCAAUUAAACCAUUUCUAGAGAUCAAAACCCUACAUCUAGGGAUUUACCAUGAGAGGGCUAAGGGCUUACCUCUCAAGAUGCUCCAAUAGCAAGGAGGGAGAGAAGAAGGUGGAGUUGAUCUCCUCCUUGAUCUUCUUCUCCUUCUUCUCCUUCCUCUUCUUCUUCUCUUCUUUCUCCCCUUCUUCUUUUUCUUUUGUUUAGAGAGAGAGAGAGAGAAACGUGAGAGAGAGUGAGGGAAUGAGAGAAAGAGAGAGAGAGUCCUCUCUUAACCCCCUCUCAUAUUGUAACAUUUCCAAAUAAGCCCCCCAACUCUUCUAACCUCGCAGUAGCCCGAACUGGGCAUUUUUCGCGUUCGGGGACUGGUCCUUGCGGUGAGGGACCGGUCCCUGAGAGACCGGUCCCCGAAGGUCCAGAAUUCAGCCUCAAGGACUUAGCCAAAUUUUCAGCAUUUUCGCCCGUUUUUGUCCGUUUUAGCUCGUUUGACCUCCGAUUCACUUCAAAUCGAACCGAGACUCUCCAUACAUGUUUUCAAGCAUGUUUUCAUCAUCUUUUCAUCCACGCUAAUGCCGGAUUUAGCUCACGGCCCAACAUAGCCUUUCGGGCUCCGUUUUCGCGCCUAUGCGCACCGAAACGCCCGAAUGCUUCCGAACUUCACCGAACUUCACCGGAACUAUUCGAAUGGCUUUCUAACCAAACGUACACCGUAACUUCAUGAUUUUAGAAGUCCAGUACCUUACAGGCUGACUUGGGUAUUAAAGAGGAUAUUCUUCAAGAAGCACACCGAGCAUCGUAUGCUAUACAUUCGGGAGGCACCAAGAUGUACAAGAACUUGAAGUUGCUUUACUGGUGGCCCGGGAUGAAAAAGGAUGUUGGUGAGUUUGUUGCCAGAUGCUUAACUUGCCAACAGGUGAAAGCUGAGCACCGAGUUCCCAUGAAAAAACUUCAGAGCCUACCGAUUCCAGUGUGGAAGUGGGAAAAGAUUACCAUGGAUUUCGUGAUGGGAUUGCCUCGCUCACAGGCCGGGCAUGACGCUAUUUGGGUGAUCGUGGAUAGGCUGACGAAAUCGGCCCAUUUCAUACCUAUCCACACUAUUUAGACUGGUGAGAGACUCAGAUAGGUUUAUUUGGAUGAGAUUGUGCGAUUGCACGGGGUACCUACUUCUAUAGUAUCGGAUCGAGACCCCCGUUUUGUAUCCCACUUUUGGAGAAGCUUAUAGGAUGAUUUGGGUACGCGCUUGGACUUCAGCACUGCUUUCCACCCCCAGAGUGACGGGCAGUCGGAGCGUACUAUACAGACUCUUGAGGACAUGCUUCGAGCCUGCGUGAUUGACUUCCAGGGAGAAUGGUUGCAGCAUCUACAGAUGGCAGAGUUUGCUUAUAACAAUAGUUAUCAAGCAAGCAUCAAGAUGGCACCUUUCGAGGCACGUUAUGGAUGGAAGUGUAGAUCGCCACUUCAUUGGAGUGAAGUUGGCGAGAGAUUGGCUUUAGGCCCAGAUGUGCUCCAGAAGGCCGAGAACAAGGUUCGCAUUGCGCGGGAGCGACUGUUGACAGCCCAGAGUAGGCAGAAGAGCUAUGCUGAUCGGCGUCGACAAGACUUGAAGUUUCAAGUUGGAGAACACAUCUUCUUGAAAGUCUCGCUGACUCGAGGGAUUAGAAGAUUUGGAACCCGGGGUAAGUUGAGCCCCCGAUACUUUGGACCGUAUGAGGUUUCGGAGCGUGUAGGCCCGGUAGCGUAUAGACUUGCUCUACCGCCGAACCUAUCGGGUGUGCACAAUGUAUUCCAUAUAUCGGUCCUUCGGAAGUACAUCCACGACCCGGCUCAUGUUUUAGACGCUACGCUUUUGGAGCUGAGAGAGGACUUGAGCUUCGAGAAACAACCUUUAAGGAUUUUGGCUCGCGAAGUGAAAAGAUUGCGGAACCGGGAAAUUCCCUACGUGAAGGUGCUUUGGAGCAACCACGACGAGCGCGAGGCCACUUGGGAGUUGGAGAACGCACUGCGGGGCGCUACCCCAUCUUUUUCAGAUGGAGGCUUGAGGUACUUUGUCUUUUUCGAGUUUCGUGGACGAAACUCCUUUUUAUGAGGGGUGAAUGUAGUACACUGGACCUUUGCAAAUUGCGAGGUUCGAGUGUUCGAGCUGUGUUCUGAGUCCUUCCAGACUUUCUGGUGGGUCGUUGACAGUGCUCCGACCUAUGGCUCGUAUUCCGAGAAUUGUGGUUUAAAGCUGUGUACCAAAACCCAAAAAAAGGGGAUUUGGCCAACUCUCGGAUAGCAAUCUGGAGGUCUUGUACCGGUACAAGGUUGGUGGUUGUACCGGUACAAGGUUGAUGGUUGUACCGGUACAGCCACCGGGCUUUUACCGAUACAGAGCGAUUGAACCCCGCCAACCCGAGCCUUGGGUUUGUGAUUUUCAUGGGACUUGUACCGGUACAAGGGCCCGUGUACCGGUACAAGGUGGCAGAAUUUGAGCAGUUUGAACUGCAGGGGUGUUUUUGCGAUUGUGGGUCUCUUAUAUCAACACCCACGCCCCUAGGGCUCUCCUUUGAGCUCACCACUGCAGGGAGAAAGGUAGGGCACCUCUCCCCUUCACCCCCUUUGGAUUUGAUCUCUUUUUAGCUUGGGAUUUAAGUGUUAAUCCAUCUCUUUUCCCUUUUGGUGCAAUUCCACCAUUGUUGAAGCUUGGAGCUUGGAUUUGGAGCUUUGUUGAGGGGAGAUCUUGGCAUUUAGAGAGUUUAGAGCUUGGAUUGAAGCUUCUAAGAGGUAAUCUACUUGUUCUCUCCCUCUAGAUUGGAUUUUUAUUGGUGGUUUUGAGAUGAAACCCUAGAAUGGGGUUUUAGGGCUUAUUUUGGGCAUUUUGAAUUUAGGACUUUUGGAGCUAAAUUAAUUGGAUUAGAAUCUUCCUUUGGGUUGGAUCGGAAGGAUUCUAGCUCUCUUUAGGAGCUUGAGGGAGAUUUUCUACACAUUAGGUGAGUUUUAUCCCUUUUGCCUUGUUGGUUAUGUUUAAUUUUAUAGUUGAUCGUAAUGCCCGUGUAUCUCUUCGCUCAAUACUUUUAGGGUAUUUUGAGACUUGUGGAUAACUUCGUUUGGCGAAACGAGACACUACGCGACGGUUCGGUGGGUUUGACCUAGCCACACAAUGAGAAAAUCUCAUUUGUGAAGAUUUGAGUAUUGUUAAUUGAAAAAGCAUGCAUAUUCAUAUUAGAUAUAUUUAUUAUGAAUUUUAGAAUGCUUAACAUGCAUACGUUAUGUAUAGUAAAUUUUGGACCUCUAUGUGGUUGGGUGCAUGCAUGUGGAAUGUAGCAUUCUAGUGGAAACUUGGGACCAUGAUUCCUAUUAUGAAAAUGAACAUUGCUUUCUUGCAUUUAACCUUAUGCCUAAUUGUGACAUUAGGGACUUUGGAAGCCUAGAGAGGCUUGGGGACUGAGGCUAUUUGAGGUUUUGGGCCGAUGUCAUAAAGAGGCAUUGGGCCCCGGGCUAUAGUGAAUAUUGGUAUUAACGUCAUAUUUGGAACAUAGAACAUGAAUUGAGCUUUACUAGUUGUGAUGCUUAAGUGUCAUAAAGAGGCACUAAGCAAGUGAGUGUUGAGAUAUCAUAUUGUGACAUAGAGCUAGACCGUUGGGUUACUAGUAGCUAUUGCCAUGUUUGAGACAUGAGGGUUGGAUACUUGAGCCUUUGACUACGCUUGCUUGCCAUUUGUGCUCAUUCGCACAUGCUUGUGAGGGUCGCUCCCUACAAGCCGGCACUCCGGAGUUAGCCUACGCGACUUAUGUUCGCUCGUGCGGUAUUUGAGUGGCUACACGGUGAGUGGAAAAGACAUUCCAGAUAGGGAUGUUUGUACCAAGUACUAGCGCCAGUAGAACUAACUUGUAGGUCCCUAAGUUGGAAAAUGGAAAUUGAAUCUGUUGUUGUGGUAAUAUAAGAUAGAGGUCGAGUUGAUUCUGGUUGCUUCUAGCAUAGUUUUGAACCUUGAGUAUACUACAUACCAUGUAUCUAGGAGUAUGUGACUUAUUCUCCCAUAUUACAGUGUUCAUAAUACAUAUCUUAUAAAUUCAUAAAGAAACCGUGAAAUUUAACUGUGGAUGUUGGACAUAUAUUACGCAUUGAACAUUCUCUUAAUAAACAGUAAAUUUAACAUUGACAUCGUAAUGUUUAUGGUAUAGGUAAAACUAGAUAAACAUGCAUAUUUCAUACGCUUAUUUAUUUGAUGUUUACCGUACUUAUUCUUUGGCCUAGUGUGCAUUGACUUGAGGUAGUAAUUGCCACUGAAUAAUAAAUUUAGUUCUCAACCCUCUGUUUAUGUUUUCUUUACGAGCAUUCCAACGCAGGAGAGCUAGGGAGUGAAGGCGUUGUUUGACUAGCUCUAGCGGAGUGCGAGUUGCUAGGUUACUUGAAUAUUUUAUUUUGAAGGUGAGAGUGUACCAUUGUAUAGGAUGACCCUUUUGUUACUUUUUUUGGACAAUAUUUAUCUUAUUAUUUCAUUUUGUUAUAGUAUACUUUUCCUAGUGUAUGAAAUUAAUUUUGCUCUGAUAUUCUAGAUGUUGUUUUUCUUUGGUUAUUUUUCGGCUGUGUUGAGACGCCUUAUAUGUGGUUACUAUGGGGGUCUGGGCACCUACGGAGGCCCUGCGGUCCGGCGUGACAGGUCUAGCUCCCUUACCAAAGGGAUGUCUUCUUGCUAAGAAUAUGGAAGAGAGAAAGAGACGUUGAGGUUGGGUUAAAAACUCUGAAUUAUAUAUAGGAAUAAAAUCUAUUCUAAAUAAUAUAAUGAAUAGGAUAAGUAUAUAUCUAAGAUUUAAUUUUCCUUUCGCUAAGGUUAAUCGAUCACAUCUAAUUUGAUUCGACUUGAAUUUUAAUAUUAAUUUGACUUAUUUCAUUAAUGAAUGCACAUUUGCCCAUCUCUAUAAUAUUACUAAAUUAUAAGCUCUCGCUUAUAACUUAUACACUUUAAUACCACUAAUUUGUAACAAUUACAAAUUACUCCAAUUAUCAACAUAUUGACAAUUAGGUCCUACUGCGAUUCAAUAAUCGCGAUCUAGCUAUCCGAUCAAUCACAACCAUUUAUGUGUGUGACCCCAUAGGUUCUAUUCUAACUGGUAGUGAGAUAUAUUUUGAUCACUAUCAACAAUAUCACGGAAACUCCUUUCGGUAGAUCGGAACAAUUCCAACUCUGCCCAAUGAGAAUUAUCGAUCAUCUAGAUAAUUCUCAUGAGUCUCACAAUCCACCAGUGACGCCUAGCAGCAUGUAGUGGCAUUCCAGUAGAAUGAAAUACUGAACCUCUUGGUGCAGUUAUCGUGUGAUACAAUCCUUCUAUCAUGAGUCCCGACAAGACGGAGGUUAUGGAAUAACUCGUCAAACCCCAUCGCCUAUCAUAUAUUAAAUUCAUUCGACUCGAGUUUCUAAUAUCAGAAACCUUUUUCCGCUAUUAACUCUGCCCUGGUCAAGGUCUUCUAAACUCGGUCUCAUAAAUCAUAUAGGACUAACACCCCUAUCUACCAAGUGAGAUAGAUUCCAUCUAAGUGUGCACCCUAUUCCUACAAUAAACCUACUGUAGCCAACAUGCACCGCAAGGACCCGAAUGGCUAGGGACCAAGUGUAUGUACAGUCAAACUACAGUAACCUCAUUGUGAAUAGCCGAGGCACCGCAGGUCAAAGUACUAGUCACAUUACUGCAACAUUGAAUAAGUCACUGACGAGUGAGUAGACAUCCAAGUGACUUCUCGGGAUGGUCACGCUCGGUACCCUUGUUCUCUAACAACCACCUGCAUAUUCGCUUCAGUGUCCCUACAUUGUCGACUCGAGACCCGUCUACCCAAAAAGGAAGCGACCUAUGCACCAAUCUCACCGGAUCAAUCACCGCCCCCGUGAUGGUCCAUUGAUUAGGAGCAUUUAGGAAUUAACCACCAAUGACACAUGUCUCAAAUUCUCAACUCUUGAGAAUAUAUGUCAUCAUCUUAUUAAUUCCUUGGACGAUUCACGGACACAUACACAACAUGAAUGGAAAUAAAAACCCAAAUUUAUUCAUAAUAUUUUAAAGUCAAAUACAAAUUUAUAUCCUAGAAAGAAUACAUGUGUCAGCCUGGUUGGCUUCUAGGGCAUACAUCUAACACCAUAUAGUAUUACGAUGUCAAGGUUUAUCAUUUAUUAACCCAAAUGUCACUACAUGACGUUCAUGAUUACUAUGUCAAGUAACAGUUACUAGUUCAAAUGCACACAACCAUUGCCAUUAUCCUAUCUAGGAUAGUUCACUUUUGUCCAAGUCUCAAUGAGAGUUCACACUUAGUCUAUUCCACUAAAGCUAAGGAAGCCACUUUCUUAUGGUGUAUGCAUAGUUACCACAAAUUAUUUAUAAUGCUCAUGAUGCAAGCCAUGCACAUAUAUCUUCCUACCCAUACAUCCACCUUAUGGAGUAAUAACAAUUAUGCGAGUGCUUUCAUUCAAUAAUGCCAUAUGCAAAUAUUCAACUAGAAUGAAUGUUCCAACUUGGUUUCUUAUAGAUCUUACAUGUACUACGUUACCAUGUCCCAACUACUUGCCUACAACAAGUGUGAUAUUGUCAUGCAAAUAUAUGCAAAUGAAUGUUCCAACUUGGUUUUCUCUCUUUUGUGUUUUGUUGAGAGAGAGAGAGAUUUUGUAUCCAUGUAUAGAGACCACCUCUGUAUUACAUUCAGUUUUUGUACUCGGGUUUUGUUAUUGUACUACCUUAUGGUUUUAUUUAGUGGAUCUAGCUCUUUACUUAUUUUCUUUUCCUUGUCAUAGAUACUAGAUGUUGUAUACUCUGAUAUCUCUAGAUCUCUUCGUGCUGUUGCUUUAUUUAUUACCUUAUUGUAGACGCCUUAUAUAUUUUAGACGUAUGGCGGGUCUGGACACGCGCCGGGCGGGCUUCCGCUGGGUCCCGGGGCGUGACAGAUCAUGUCCAUGAUGUUCAUAAUGCUACAAUAAGUGACGAUACAUCUCAUUACUAUUCUAACCAUACAUUAUGCCAAUCAAUAUAAGUGUAACAUACUACCACUAGGGUGUCAAUGCUAACAAUGACUAACAUAAGGUCCACAUAUGCACUAUCAUGCAUGUCCACUAGUCCAACUGAUAUACAUCAUCUAGUAGUAGUUUUCACAUUACACUUUAGGUUUCAUAGUUCAAUCCUCAUCAUGGAUCUACACGUGUGUAGUCCGGCUUGUGCCGUGCCAAAAAUGGCCCCAUAGUAGUCAAUAUUCCCACUCUAGGAAUGAGCCUCCCCCACGGCAUCCCAUUUCGGCGCCCAAUCCUGCACGGGCGAGCUUGUGUCACAUAGGCUAUCUCCGGAGUGCCAGCUUGUGGGGAGCGACCCUUACAAGAAUGUGUGAAUGAGCACAAAGGCAAGCAAGCGUGAUCAAUAGUAUCCAGCUCUCGGUCAUCAUGUCUAAAAUAUGGAAUACGUGGCAACGACCCCAAAGGUCCCAUAUAGUAUUACGAUGUCAAGGUUUAUCAUUUAUUAACCCAAAUGUCACUACAUGACGUUCAUGAUUACUAUGUCAAGUAACAGUCACUAGUUCAAAUGCACACAACCAUUGCCAUUAUCCUAUCUAGGGUAGUUCACUUUUGUCCAAGUCUCAAAGAGAGUUCACACUUAGUCUAUUCCACUAAAGCUAAGGAAGUCACUUUCUUAUGGUAUAUGCAUAGUUACCACAAAUUAUUUAUAAUGCUCAUGAUGCAAGCCAUAAACAUAUAUCUUUCUACCCAUACCUCCACCUUAUGGAGUAAUAACAAUUAUGCGAGUGCUUUCAUUCAAUAAUGCCACAUGCAUAUAUUCAACUAGAAUGAAUGUUUCAACUUGGUUUCUUAUAGAUCUUACAUGUACUACGUUACCAUGUCCCAACUACUUGCCUACAACAAGUGUGGUAUUAUCAUGCAAAUAUAUGCUAAGUCUCAUUCAUGCACAUGUCCAAGUCAUAUAGUUAUGCUAUCGAUCUCAAGAUCAACACCUUGUUAGUUACUAGGUCACAAUGCCCUAUUUCCUUGUCUACACAAGUAUAUUAUUUGUAACAUACCAGAUUUUGGUAUAAAAAAAAAUAAAAAUAAAUAAAAAUAGUGUGAGAAACUAUUUUUAUUGGAUUUAUAGAAGUAAAAUAUAAGUUAGAAGUGACUUGUGCUGAAAUCGAAAUGAAAAUAGAAGAUCUAGAAUUUUCUGUUGGAAACGAGACAGAUAAAUUAGCAGAAAAUGCAGUCUCAGAAAAUUAUGAAAAUUGGAGGAUAAGUCAGAAAUAUUUUUAUGAGGCUAGAUUUAAGGUUUCAUAUUUUUCUGACACCCGUAGAGUGAGAAAUAAAAUCCAACAGCUAUCUGAUAAAGAUUACGGUUCGGUACAGUUUUCAGUGACCAAACGAGGUCGAAACUGAAAACAUAAGAUAUAUUCUCACUCAGUACGUUAAACCGAGGUUGUCUGUCAAAUUUGAGCCCAAACGAACAUUCAGAAGGGCUCCAACUGUUCCGAACUACUAAACUGCACUGGAAUGAAUAACGUUGUGGUGUUGACAAAAGAGGAGUGUUGACUCUUCUUCUUUUCCUUCAGCCGCACACACGCCACACACACACACGCGCGCAUGGAGGGGGAGAGGGAAACCCUCCCUUCUCUCUCUAAAUAUCUCUCUCAUCUCUCUAAAUCUCUCUCUAAAAAUUGGAGGGUUGGCAGAGAGCGAGCUUGCGAACGCGUUGGAGGCGACGGAUCGAGCUUUCGUACGCCCGUUGGAGCGGCGUGGUUUCGUCGCGGCGUUCACAUUUUGGUAAGCUUUUGGAAUUUUGUUUAAAUCCUUCAUGAAUGAUGUUCUAGUAGUAUCUAGAGUGUUCUAAACAUGCUCUCUCUAUUUAAUUUGGAUUAUUUAGAGGUUAAUUACAUGUUAGGGCUCCGAAUGGGGUUUUGUAAAAUAUAAGGGUUUGAUCUAAUUUGACCCUCCGUAAACCUAAUUGCUAGGUAAACGAACGCGUUGGCCAAGACGGUUCGGCGAUUCGUCCAGCCGUUGCAAAGUUAUUAAAGAAACGGAUGUUUAGGCUUCAUUUCCGCCUGGAGUGUAAGGAAGUGGAUUCUCGAAAUCCGAGAAUUGUACUUCAUACAGGAUCGACUAACCCUAUCGAGAGAAUGCCCUUUGUGGGAGUUAAGAAUGUCCAAAACACAAGAGGUGCUUUGGAGUUGAGUCCACGAGAGCGAAUGAUGCAAACUGCAUCAUUGGGCAGAUGUUACUCUCGGGGACCGGUCUCUAGAGGUGAGAGACCGGUUCCCUUGGCUGGGUGUAGCGGGGUUGCUUGAUGCAACUGGUCCCUGGCAGGGAGGGACCGGUUCCUGAACGUGGUCCCAGCGAGAAAUGCCGAAAUUUGGCUAAGUCCUGAAAAUCGAGCUCUCGGGGACCGGUCUCUCGGGCCAGGACCGGUCUUCCGAGGACCGGUCUCCCGGGGAGAGACCGGUUCCCGAACGCGUGCGCCCGAGGGAGGCCCUCGGGGACCGAUCCCAAGUCGGGGAGACCGGUCCCUCCGCGCGAACUCUGCCCAGUAAGGGCUGUGCAGUGGAUAGAAAGUUGAGGGGUUUUUAUACAAAAUGGCCUUUAUUAGAGUGGGUUGGGCCCUCUCUCUCCCUCACACUCAUCUCAUUUCCCUCUCUCACACUCUCUUUCUCUCUUGCUCUCUCUCUCUAGAAAGGAAAGGAGAAGAAGAAGAACAAGAAGGAGAGGAAGGAAAAGAAGAGGAAGAACAAGAAGGAGAAGAAGGAGGAGAUCAAGAGUAAGGCUUUGGACACCUUCAUCUCCCUCUCCUCUUCUCUUUGGUGUAGCACAAGAGGUAGGCUCUUGAGCCCUAGCUUCUAAACUUUGGAGUUUUGGGUUUUCAUGCUUUGGAAUGGGUCAAAUAGACCCUAAGCAUGCUUCUAAAUAGAUCAAUCCCAUGAUUCUAGAGAUUUAUUGGUGGUUUGCUAUAGGUGCAAACCUAGGGCACCAAAAUGGAGUUUUUGUAAAAGUAUGAGAUUGAUCUCAUUUGAAGCCUUGGAAACCCUAUUGUUAGGUCACAAAACGUGGGGGCGAAGUCGGUUUUGGCAUUCGGCGAACCGGCGUGAAGUUCUCGGCAAAAUAGGGCCGGGCUAGUGUUGACUUGGGCAAGGAAGGCUAAAGCCUUUUCGUAAAGUUCGCCGAGAAGAAUUUCCGAGGCCUCUACAUCGAUUAAAGGUGGGGGGUGCGAUCCCGAAGCUUUCAGACUCCUUUCUAUGUCUUAGAUUGCAUUUAAUAUCAGCUCUUACAUGUUGCAUUGUAGGAUUGCAUAGUAGCUCAUUCCUUAUGCUUUCUAAAUAAUAACCUAGUGUACUUGGAACGCUUGGUGACGUAGAUAGGUGAGGAUUGGGUCGGAACGUGGAUCCUAUGAUGCGAAAGACAAGAGGUGAACCCGAUAGGGGUAUUGAUGACAUAGAAAAUAGUGCUAAUGUUAAAGAACAAACGAGUGACAUCCAAAUGUUAAAUGAUAACGAGUGGCAUUAAUGUAGUGUAAACAACACUAGAGGUUUGAGAACCUAGGGAUAGGUGGAUCCCUUAGAAAAUGCCUUGUGGAUAAAGAACUUAGUAAACCUAAGUAGCCUCACAUGGAGAGGUUGUCGAUGAGUCGAUUGAGACAUUGACCCUAGUGUUAGGGCUUCCUCACUUGGAGCGGAUUGGGAUUGGGUUGUGGACCCUAGUGAUAGUGCUCCGUCACUUGGAGAGGAUUCGAUUGGGUAUAGACUCUAUUUGUAGAGCAUCCUCACUUGGAGAGGACUCGAUUGAGUUGUUGACCCUAGACGUUGGGCAUUCUCACUUGGAGAGGAUAGAUCUAGCUCACAGUCUGCAUUUGCGGUAGUAUAGCCAUCCAAUCCCCAUAUGGAGGGGAUUGUCGUCAAGUACUCCGGAGUGUCGCGCGACUAGGACUACUUGGAGGUCCGGACCACAUGGAGGUCCGCAGACGGUCCCGGGCUUGGGUGCACUUGGAGCUCCCUCCCCACUUUGGGAUUGAAGGGUGAGUUAUAGGCGAGCCCUAGGGCCUCGCCAUAGAUUGGGUAAAUGAAAAGGUUAAAGGUUUAAUAAUGUCAUUGAACAUUGCUAUUCGAACAUGGGUCGAAUUUGUUAGCAUGGUAGCAAACCUUUAUUAUAUGAUGCAUGCAUUCAUAUUCAUGAUUAUGGGCAUAGUAGCAUAGUUUUCCUACUAUCGCAUUUACAGCUUUCAGAUACAUAUCUAUCUAUAUAUCUGUUGUUACUUGUGCCCACUUGGACCUAGUGGGGAGAUCGGCAAAGUCGGCGGCCGAGCCCACUGGGAACUAUGGAAGAUAGUUCUCACCCCACUCUAUUUCCAGUGGUAGAUACAGGACUACCGAGNAGGGAGGACCGCGGCAAGGGCAUCGCGCCCGAUCAGUGAGACCGUGGCAGUUAGUAGCUUUCAUUUUUGCAUUAGUUCACCAAUGUAUUGAGAGAGAAUCAUUGUAGGUGAGGACAUGGAGAGCUAUGCACUUUGAGAUGAAAAAUGUAUUCAUUUAAAGAGAAUGAUGUAAAUGGAAAUGAUGAAACUAUUGUAAUAGUUAGUAAAAUACUCUCUUUAUUUCACAUGCUAUAUCUUGAGGAUUACUUGCUCUUUAUAUUGUUGGCACUGUUCGUGCCCUUGUGAAUAUGUAUGUUUAGAAUUUAAUUUUCUGGGUAAAUUCUUGUACACAUUCUUGUUGUUGAGCCUUGGGCAGACAGGGGAGGUGCUGUCCAUUCGGCAAUCUGCCGCCGCGGCCGAAUCGUGCCAAAUUAGUAGUGGUUUCGGGGCGGGGUGUGACAGUUCUUUGUGGUAUCAGAGCAACAAGAGCAAGUAAAGAGAGAAAGUCUAGGAUGACCUAGGAGACCCUAGGUUGAUAAGCCCUAAGGUUAUAGGUGCGUGAGCGGAACGUGAACCUAUAGCGAUGGCGGAAGUUAAGUCGAUUGGGUUGAAGUUGGCAAUAUGUCUCUAGUUGUGAUUAGAGACGGACUCAAGUUGUAGGAGUUCUUGUCUUGAGGUGGUUGUGUUGGCGGUCGAUGACAUGAUGCCAAGAGAUUAGAACAAGUGCACUUGUGUGCUUCCGCCCGAUUUUUGUUGUUGAGUCGUCAAGUGACAUAAUUGUGACGAGGCAAUUGGUUAAGAUAACUGACCGAGUAUCUGCAUUUCAGGGACUAAUGUCUCCAAGACGCUACACGCGUAGAUCUGCCCCAGCACCGAUUCCUGAGGUGCCCGAGAAGAAGGAACCGAACGUGAUCGAUCGGUUGCAAGCGCAGGUGGCCGCACUGACCAACGUGGUGCAACACCAGGAGACCCGAUUCGAGCGGCUCUGGGAUCUUUUGGAGCAGCAGAUUGCAGUGGCGGCCGCGAUGGUGAAUGAGGGCGGUGGUCCGCCCACACCCUCGACUCAUAUACCCGUGGCGGCAGAGGGUGAGGGCAUAGCGGCGGUUCCGGUGACGGCACGCCCACCGCCAGCGAUCGUACCACAGGCGGCAUCGGGAUCGGCUACACCCGAUGUGGCAGCCGAAGACGUGGAGGGAGAGCGCGCAUUGGCGGCUCUUAUCAAGUUCAACAAGUUCCAUCCGCCAACCUUCGAGGGCGAGAAGGUGGAACCGGAGAUGGUCGAGUCUUGGAUUGACUCGAUGGAAACCUUCUUCGAUGAUUUACGUACCUUAGAGAGGGACAAGGUGUACCUCGCCACCCAUUGCUUGGAGAAGGCGGCGAAGGUUUGGUAGAAGCGCGUCAAACGGGAUCGGCUUCCCGGCCUUCCGCCAAUGUUGUGGGAGGAGUUCAAGCAGGAGAUGUUUGCUAACUAUUUUCCCGACACACUGAAGCCGAAGCUCAAGGAGAAAUUCCGCAAGUUGGAGCAAGGGGACCGCUCAGUGGCGGAGUAUGAACAAGAAUUCUCCCAUAUCAUUGAUUGUGUCCCGGAUGUUGCAAAGGAUGACCGGGACUGGGCUGAGUGGUUCUUACGAGGACUUCAGCCGGGAAUUUACAAGGCCGUGCAAAUACUCAAGCUCACAACCUUUGCGGAGGUCUUUGAUCGAGCCCUAUGGGCGGAGCACGGAGACGCCCACGUUCGGGAGAAGCGUGAGCUUUUGGCGGAGUCCAAGGACAAGGGCAAGAAACGCCAAGGUGGCGGUAGUUCGGGGGGACAAACACGUUACAAGAAACCCCUGAAGUAUCCGCGCACUCAACAGAAGGGCGGUGGAGCGCGGCGUUGCAUCGUGUGCGGCGGAGACCACCCGGUCUCGCGCUGAGCAAGGCCGAGGCAAGUGCUACAAGUGUGGGCAACUGGGGCACUUCAUUCGGGACUGCCAGGGAGGAGGAGCCUCACCUGCCCCAUCAAUUGCAUCGGUGCCGGCGAUUCCGGCUCACUAUGGAGGAGCUCCACCCACGGCCGCGUCGACUGGACGCGCGAUGAUGCCGCGUCAACAUGAAGCAACGCGAUCGGCCCCGAGUGGACGGGUGUUCGCCGCUCAGGUCCAAGCUGAGGAACCUGCGGAGGCGGAGGAGCAUCGCCUUGUGGCAGGUAUGGUUUUAAUUAACGGAGUUCGCUCCAGGGCUUUAUUUGAUACAGGAGCCACGCAUUCAUUCAUAAGUAGAUCAUUCGCACGCAUGCAUGGCAUACAUAUAGAAGCGAGUGACAAGUGGCGAGUGGAGGCCCUGGGUCGACGUUUAACACUUACUCGGAGUAUGCGUCGUGUCCCGUACAAAGAGGCGACUGGAUUAUGCCUAUCCGGACACUGGAACUCGCAAAGCUUGAGGCUUAUGACGUCAUUCUGGGUAUAGACUGGCUCUCGAAAUAUCACGCAAUGAUCGACUGCAAGAGUAGGGUGAUCACAUUCUGUGAGCCAGGACAGGAAGAAUUCAUCUAUCGGACUUGUCAGAGCUCGUGCUUCGUCGCGACGGUGUCGGCGACGAGAGCAAGGAAGUUGGUCAACAGCGGUUGCACGGCAUUCUUGGCAACUAUUGUGGAGGUGGAGCGAGUAGCCCCAAUGUUAGAGGAGUUAUCCGUGGUGUGGGAGUUCCCGGAUGUGUUUCCUACGAAGUUGCCGGGGAUACCACCGGAUCGGGAGAUCGAGUUCGUCAUAGACUUGGUUUCCGGUACCGCACCGAUCUCGAAGGCUCCGUACCGAAUGGCGCCGGCGGAAUUGAAGGAGUUGAGGAGUCAAUUGCAAGACCUCCUCGACAAGCAAUUUAUCCGGCCAAGUGUAUCACCGUGGGGAGCCCUGGUGUUAUUCGUGAGGAAGAAAGAUGGAUCGUUUCGACUCUGCGUGGAUUAUCGAGAGUUGAACAGAGUCACGAUCAAGAACAAGUACCCACUACCCCGAAUCAACGACCUGUUCGAUCAGUUGCAAGGGUCGUGUGUGUACUCGAAGAUAGAUUUGCAAUCCGGCUAUCACCAGCUGAAAAUCAAGCCGAAGGAUGUGCAGAAAAUCGCGUUCCGCACGCGGUAUGGACAUUACGAAUUCACGGUCAUGCCAUUUGGACUCACAAAUGCUCCAGCGGCAUUUAUGGAUUUAAUGAAUCGUGUCUUCAGAGAGUAUUUGGAUCGGUUUGUCGUGGUCUUCAUAGACGACAUAUUGGUCUAUUCUCGUAGUGACGAGGAACAUGCCGAGCAUUUGAGAAUAGUGCUUCAAGUCCUUCGGGAGGAGAAGCUAUAUGCUAAACUGAAGAAGUGUGACUUCUGGCUCCGCGAGGUCGCCUUCAUAGGGCAUGUGAUUUCCGUAGGUGGAGUUUCAGUAGACCUGAGGAAAGUUGAGGCAAUCAAGGAUUGGCCGCGCCCGACGAAUGUCACGGAGGUUCGAAGCUUCGUGGGCUUGGCGGGCUACUAUAGGCGGUUUGUGUAAGGCUUUUCCAAGAUAGUGAUUCCACUUACCCGCCUGACUCAAAAAGGCACCAAGUUUGUUUGGAGUGAAGAGUGCGACCGGAGUUUUAAAGAGUAGAAGCAGAGAUUGACUUCGACUUCGGUGCUCGCUCUACCGGUGCAGGGCGAAGACUUCGUGGUCUACAGUGAUGCCUCCUAUCUUGGAUUGGGGUGUGUAUUAAUGCAAAGCGGGAAAGUGAGUGCGUAUGCAUCCCGUCAGUUGAAGAGCUAUGAAAAGAACUACCCCAUUCACGAUUUGGUGCUAGCGGCGGUGAUUUUCGCCUUGAAGCUGUGGAGCCACUACUUAUAUGGUGCCCAUUGUGAGAUCUAUACCGACCACAAGAGCUUGAAGUACCUGUUUACACAGAAGGAGCUCAAUAUGCGUCAGCGGCGGUGGUUGGAGCUAUUAAAGGAUUAUGAUGUUGAUAUCCUCUACCACCCCGGGAAGGCAAAUGUGGUCGCGGAUGCGCUGAGUAGGAAGUCGGCGAAGAACCUCGCUUUCGAUGUUACCCAGCAAACACCCCUGUGGCUGGAUAUGGAGCAAUUGGGCCUUGAGGUGGUCGCUCCCGAGGUCCCGACUCAGCUGAUGGCACUCGUUGUCCAACCGACCUUGUUAGAGAGGAUUAAAGAUCUGCAACCCGCAGACCCAGAGCUCCAAAAGGUGCGGCGAAACAUCGAGGAAGGGCAUGGCGGCGAUUUCAAGGUAGACGUCGAUGGUACGCUUCGGUUUCGAAACUGAUGGUGUGUGCCGAAAGAUGGAGAGCUUCGCGAAUUGAUAUUACAAGAAGCACACUGAUCUCCAUAUGCCGAUCACCCAGGCGGCACCAAAAUAUAUCAGGGACUAAGAAUGUAAUAUACCGAAAAUUCGAAAAAUAAAUAUCGAACUUUAGUCAAAUUGACCAAAGUGCGAGGACGGUACACUUCGGAAAGUCCGAAGGUGUUAAAAUGAUCAAAAGUGAGUUACGGAAGGUUUUCGAGAGCUAAAGAAUCAAAUUCUGCAAACUGCAGCUUUUGAGCUCUCGGGGACCGGUCCCUGGUGGGAGAGACUGGUCCCCGAACGCGUAUGAAAUGUGACAGCCGAAAAAUCGGCUAAGUCCUGGAAGGACAGCUCUCGGGAACCGGUCUCUGUCUGAGAUACCGGUCCCCCAGAGACCGGUCCCCCAAGGAGGGACCGGAUGCAUUGCGCGCGGCAGCUCUGGCUGCGCAGGGUAGACCUUCGGGGACCGGUCCCUGCUCGGGGAGACCGGUCUCUGCCUGCGAAAACUGCCCAGUUCAGGCUGUGUGAAAUAGAUGAAAGUUGAGGGGUUUGUUAGCAAUUAUGCAACCCAAUAGCUAUGUUAUGAGGGUAAAUGAGAAAUUUCUCUCAUUUCACCCCCUCUCACUCUCUUCUCUCCCUCUCUCUCUCUAGAAGACAAAGGAGAAGAAGAAGAAAGAAAGAAGAGAAGGAGAAGAAGGAAAAGAAGGUGAAGAAGAAGAUCAAGGAGCAAAGGAGCUUCAUCUUCUUCCUCUCUAGUGCAAGAAAAGGAAGCUUACAAGGUAAGCUUUGAACCCUAAUGUAGUAAAACCCUAGAAAUGGGUUUGGAUGACCUAGAAAUGAGUUUUAGUGAAAUGUUUAAAGAGUUUUGAAGCUUUCUUUUGCUUCUAAAGAGAUCAAAACCUUGAUUUGCAUUAGAGGUGAGCUUGGACCACCUCUCAUGGUGAAAUCCAAACUAGGGAUUUGGAAAGGUUAAGAAUGGUUCUAAUGGACUAUUUAGAGUAUAAUGAAGCUACUUUUGCUUCUCUUAGAGAUCAAACCCUAGGUUUUGAUAUACAUUGGAGCUAGGGCACCCAAAUUGGGGCUUUUGCUCAUGAGAGUUUCUAAGUGCAAUUGACCUUUUAAAAACCUAAUUGGGGGUAUUUCCGACGCGUUGGUGCGCUCGGAUAAACGUUACGAAAAGUCAAAGUAAAGUUAUGGGCAAAAUGGCCUAAUAAGGGUUCGUUUUGCCGCAGGUAAAGAACGAAGCAUCUAAAAAUCCCAAGAAAAUCAUCGGAGCACCUUUGAAAGCCUACGAGGUGGGUGGUGCUUUUCAAACUCAUUGAAAUUCUCUCUAUGCCUAAUGUGUCAUUCUUUGAGCAAAUGUUCUAUAUAUUGUUGCAUGCAUUUUAGGGUAAAGUAAUGAUGAAAUGUGAUGAUUGCAUGAUUGUGAGCACAACUUGCAUAAUGAGAUGGUUGAGAACCUAAUAAUGUCAAAACCCUAGAUGUAUGCAUGAGAGAAAAUGUGAGUACCAAAGUGAGCAACAAAACAGAGUGGCACAAUGACAUAGAUCGAGUGGCAUUUGAAAAUGAAAAGUAAAGAGACACUAGAGAUAGUGUGAGGUAAAGAACCAAUGUAAUGUAAAAGAUGCUGAAAAUGAUAAUGCUUAAAGUUAACGCAAUGUGGGAAGUAAAAGAACGUGAAAAUGCUAGAGGUACCAAAAGUAAGAAUGUAAGAAAUAUAAUUGCUAGAGUUAGCAAAAGUAAAGGACAAUGUAAAGAAUGUGAUUGCAUGAGUUGCAACAUAAAGUGAUAUAAUGAACACUAGAGCUAGUGUAAAGUCAAGAUUGAACUUAUAUAUCGAUCCUUUGAGUUAAGGAUAUGAUACAUGCUUGCUAUGAGUUCCGUGCUCGAGCGCGUCGCUCCGCCCUCGGCGAUGCGCUCCGGAGUUAUGCAUCCGGGUUGGAGUAAGCGUAAGGCGGUCCAGCGGGUGAGUUCCUGCGAUGAUGGACUUAAUGUGAAGCAAUUAAUGUGGCGAAGCCCCCGGUUAGCCUUAACGAUUAAGAAAAGAAGAACAAAGAGCACAGAAAUAAGGAACAAAGCACAAAGUAAGUCAAAGAAUUGAAGAUUUGCAUAAUCUGCAUUUAUUUACAUGUUGAGCAUACUUCUUGCUUAUUUCAUGCAUAUUAGAUCAUGUUAUAGAUUGUUACUAUACAGCUUAUUCUUCCUACUAUGGCCUGAGUUAGUCUAGUGGAAAGUCGGUGAUGUUGAGCCGAACCCACUGGGCCGAACUUUGUUGUAGUUCUCACCCCACUAUUUCACACGAGGCCGACCUGAGAGCCGGCGAGCGACCGAGUAAAGUAUCGCCGCCUUAGUAAGAGGCCACCAAAGUUGGGUACAUUUUGUUAGCAAACACCCUUUUGUCAUCUUUGUAUUUGAUGAUUAGCAAUGUGAAGAAAGAAUGUAAAGCUUAUUUUGAAGGUAAAUGUGAUGUAAGAAGGAAAUGAAUGGAAUUAUGUAAUGAAAUGUAAAGAAUCCUAAAUGUAACAGAUGGAUGCAAUGUAUAAUGAUCUAAUAUGAAUCAUACUACUGUGUAGAAGUUUAGUUUUCUAUCUUUCACUAAUGCUACUGCUUACCUCCGCGUAAGCACAUUUGUGUAUGUUUCCGCUAGUGCAAUUCUUGUUUGAAUUUUGUACAUUGAUGAGCCUUGGCGCACAGGGGAAACUCUGUCCGUUCGGCGUCUGUUUGACGUGCUCGGGUCGGGCAAAUUGGCAUCGGUCUCGGGCGUGACAAAGAAUGCACUAUUGGUCGCCGGAAUGGAAGGGUGAUAUUGGAGCGCUUUGUGGCAAAAGUGCUUAACAUGCCAACAAUGAAGGCCGAGCGUCGAUUUCCAGCGGGAAAGCUUCAAAGCCUACCAAUCCCCGUUUGGAAAUGGGAGGAUAUAUCGAUGGACUUCGUGGUCGGCUUGCCUCGCUCAACAGACGGCCACGAUGCAAUUUGGGUAAUUGUGGACCGGUUGACAAAGCCGGCUCACUUCUUGCCGAUCCACACCAUGUGGUCGGGUGACAAGUUAGCGCAGGUAUAUCUUGACGAGAUAGUGAGACUGCAUGGGGUGCCGAAAUCGAUCGUGUCGGAUCGUGACCUCCGGUUCACUUCACACUUCUGGAAGAGCCUGCAGGGAGCCCUUGGCACACGGCUCGACUUUAGCACUGCAUUUCAUCCCCAGACUGAUGGGCAAACAGAGAGAACUAUUCAAACUCUGGAGGACAUGUUGCGAGCGUGUGUCAUUGACUAUAAGGGAAGUUGGUGUGAUCACCUACCUAUGGCCGAGUUUGCCUACAACAACAGUUAUCAUGCUAGUGUGGAGAUGGCACCGUUUGAGGCUCUUUACGGGCGGACGUGUCGGUCUCCUAUACACUGGAGCGAUGUGGGUGAGCGUACAGAGUUCGGCCCCGAUGUUCUGCGAGAAGCGGAGGAGAAAGUCCGCCUUGCUCGCAAGAGAUUGCUCACGGCGCAGUCGAGACAACAAAGCUAUGCGGAUAGGCGCCGUCGAGAUAUAGAAUUCGCGGUAGGCGACCGGGUAUUCUUGAAAGUUUCACCGAUGCGGGUUGUGAAGCGGUUUGGAGUGCGGGGGAAACUAAGUCCUCGAUACAUUAGACCAUAUGAGAUAUUGGAGCGAGUCGGCACGGUGGCCUACUGACUUGCUUUGCCGCCGAAGCUUGCGAAUGUACAUAAUGUAUUCCAUGUCUCCAUUCUCUGCAAGUAUAUUCACGACCCCGAGCACGCGAUGCUAUAUGAACCGCCGGAACUUCAAGGAGAUUUGAGCUAUGAAGAGUUUCUGGUAGGGAUUAUCGCCCGAGAGGUGCGAAAGUCAAGAAAUCGAGAAAUUCCCUAUGUGAAGGUUAGGUGGAGCAAUCAAGAGGAUCGCGAAGCCACCUCGGAACUCGAGGAUCUGAUGAGAAAGCACCACCCUCAUCUAUUUGAGGAGUGAGGUAUGAAUUUAAGUUAAAGUAAUGAAAUGAGUUCGUUUCGAGGACGAAACUCCUUUUAAGGAGGGGAGGAUGUAAGAAAGUGGAUUCUCGAAAUCUGAGGAUUGUACUUCAUCCAGGAUCGACUAACCCUGUCAAGAGAAUGCCCUUUGUGGGAGUUAAGAAUGUCCAAAACACAAAAAGGUGCUUUGGAGUUGAGUCCACAAGAGCGAAUGAUGCAAACUGCAUCAUUGGGCUGAUGUUACUCUCGGGGACCGGUCUCUGGAGGUGAGAGACCGGUUCCCUUGGCUGGGUGUAGUGGGGUUGCUUGAUGCAACCGGUGCCUGGCAGGGAGGGACCGGUUCCCGAACGUGGUCCUAGCGAGAAAUGCCGAAAUUUGGCUAAGUCCUGAAAAUCGAGCUCUCGGGGACCGGUCUCUCGGGCGAGGACUAGUCUCCCGAGGACCGGUCUCCCGGGAAGAGACCGGUUCCUGAAUGCGUGCGCCCGAGGGAGGCCCUCUGGGACCGGUCCCAAGUCGGGGAGACCGGUCCCUCCGCGCGAACUCUGCCCAGUAAGGGCUGUGCAGUGGAUGGAAAGUUGAGGGGUUUUUAUGCAAAAUGGCCUUUAUUAGAGUGGGUUGGGCCCUCUCUCUCCCUCACACUCAUCUCUUUUCUUUCUCUCACACUCUCUUUCUCUCUUGCUCUCUCUCUAGAAAGGAAAGGAGAAGAAGAAGAACAAGAAGGAGAGGAAGGAAAAGAAGAGGAAGAACAAGAAAGAGAAGAAGAAGGAGAUCAAGAGGAAGGCUUUGGACACCUUCAUCUCCCUCUCCUCUUCCUUUUGGUGUAGCACAAGAGGUAGGCUCUUCAACCCUAGCUCCUAGACUUUGGACUUUUGGGUUUUCAUGCUUUGGAAUGGGUCAAAUGGACCCUAAGCAUGCUUCUAAAUAGAUCAAUCCCAUGAUUCUAGGGAUUUAUUGGUGGUUUGCUAUAGGUGCAAACCUAGGGCACCAAAAUGGGGUUUUUGUGAAAGUAUGAGAUUGAUCUCAUUUGAAGUCUUGGAAACCCUAUUGUUAGGUCACAAAACGUGGGGGCGAAGUCGGUUUUGGCAUUUGGCGAACCGGCGUGAAGUUCUCGGCAAAAUAGGGCCGGGCUAGUGUUGACUUGGGCAAGGAAGGCUAAAGCCUUUUCGUAAAGUUCGCCGAGAAGAAUUUCCGAGGCCUCUACAUCAAUUAAAGGUGGUGGGUGCCAUCCCGAAGCUUUCGAACUCCUUUCUAUGUCUUAGAUUCUAUUUAAUCUCAUCUCUUACAUGUUGCAUUGUAGGAUUGCAUAGUAACUCCUUCCUUAUGCUUUCUAAAUGAUAACCUAGUGUACUUGGAACGCUUGGUGACUUCGAUAGGUGAGGAUUGGUUCGGAACGUGGAUCCUAUGAUGCAAAAGACAAGAGGUGAACCCGAUGGGGAUAUUGAUGACAUAGAAAGUAGUGCUAAUGUUAAAGAACAAACGAGUGGCAUCCAAACGUUAAAUGAUAACGAGUGGCAUUAAUGUAGUGUAAACAACACUAAAGGUUUGAGACCUAGGGAUAGGUGAAUCCCUUAGAAAAUGCCUUGUGGAUAAAGAACUUAGUAAACCUAAGUAACCUCACAUGGAGAGGUUGUCGAUGAGUCGAUUGAGACAUUGACCCUAGUGUUAGGGCUUCCUCACUUGGAGAGGAUUGUGAUUGGGUUGUGGACCCUAGUGAUAUUGCUCCCUUACUUGGAGAGGAUUCGAUUGGGUAUAGACUCUAUUUGUAGAGCAUCCUCACUUGGAGAGGACUUGAUUGAGUUGUUGACCCUAGACGUAGGGCGUCCUCACUUGGAGAUGAUUGAUCUAGCUCACAGUCUGCGUUUGGGGUAGUAUAGCCAUCCAAUCCCCACAUGGAGGAGAUUAUCGACAAGUACUCCGGAGUGUCGCGCGACUAGGACCACUUGGAGGUCCGGACCACAUGGAGGUCCGCAGACGGUCCCGGGCUUGGGUGCACUUGGAGCUCCCUCCCCACUUUGGGAUUGAAGGGUGAGUUAUAGGCGAGCCCUAGGGCCUCGCCACAGAUUGGGUAAAUGGAAAGGUUAAAGGUUUAAUAAUGUCAUUGAACAUUGCUAUUCGAAUAUGAAUCGAAUUAGCAUGGUAGCAAACCUUUAUUAUAUGAUGCAUGCAUUCAUAUUCAUGAUUAUGGGCAUAGUAGCAUAGUUUUCCUACUAUCGCAUUUACAGCUUUCAGAUACAUAUCUAUCUAUCUAUCUGUUGUUACUUGUGCCCACUUGGACCAAGUAGGGUGAUCGGCAGAGUCGGCGGCUGAGCCCACUGGGAACUAAGGAAGAUAGUUCUCACCCCACUCUAUUUCCAGUGGUAGGUACAGGGCUGCCGAGGGAGGACCGCGGCAAGGGCAUCGCGCCCGAUCAGUGAGACCGUGGUAGUUAGUAGCUUUCCUUUUUGCAUUAGUUCACUAAUGUAUUGAGAGAGAAUCAUUGUAGGUGAGGACAUGGAGAGCUAUGCAUUUUGAGAUGAAAAAUGUAUUCAUUUAAAGAGAAUGAUGUAAAUGGAAAUGAUGAAACUAUUGUAAUAGUUAGUAAAAUACUCUCUUUAUUUUACAUGCUAUAUCUUGUGGAUUACUUGCUUUUUGUAUUGUUGGCAUUGUUCGUGUCCUUGUGAAUGUGUAUGUUUAGAAUUUAAUUUCCUGGGUAAAUUCUUGUACACAUUCUUGUUGUUGAGCCUUGGGCGGACAGGGGAGGUGCUGUCCGUUUGGCAAUCCGCCGCCGCGGCCGAAUCGUGCCAAAUUGGUAGUGGUUUCGGGGCGUGGCGUGACAUGGAGGGCCGAGGCGAUAUCGUAAACUCAUGAAAAUGGAUUUGAAGCACCGUGGCACAUAACCGAAGACCUUAACUUUCGGAUUGUGGAUUGGAGGCCGUUCGGAUAGUCGCGCGAGAGAUCGGGCCAAACCGGGUGCCGGGUGCGCGGGAGGCCGAUUGAAAGUGUUGACAAGCAAUCGGAAAGCGAUUUGAGGUGGGUUGUGUUUACCUAAGCGACUAAGUCGCCCUUUAUGUCUAAGAAACAUAUGAAUUCAUAUUGAUGCAUGUUAAUAAAAUGACAUAGCUAAUGCGUGUGGACAAUGUGAUGCAAACUGCUAAGUAGAUGCAUAUAAAAUGAUGUAAUAUAGAAAUGCUUAUUGACAUAAUGACAUAGUCUAGAAAUGCUAAAUGUAAUGUGCAUGUUAAUAUGAUAAGAAACCAUGCUAGUGAUAUUUGCAUGAUAAUGCAUUGAUAGUACAUGCUAGUAAGUAAAUGCAUAUUAAUACAUAUGUGUAUAAUGAGCAUGUUGGAUAAGAUUCGUGUACAUGUAGACUCGAGAUGACAAUAGGAUGUCAAGUAGAUCGAGUGGCACUUAACCUAGUGUUAAAGAACAUAGGUUGUGAAUUAAUCUAGAGUCAUGUGAACUAGAUCGAGUGGCACUUAACCUAGUGUUAAAAAACAUAGGUUGUGAAUGAAUCUAGAGUCAUGUGAACUAGAUCGAGUGGCAUCUAACCUAGUGUUAAAGAACAUAGGUUGUGAAUGAAUCUAGAGUCAUGUGAACUAGAUCGAGUGGCAUAUAACCUAGUGUUAAAGAACAUAGGUUGAGAAUGAACCUAGAGUUAAUCGAAUCUAGGUGUGUGGUAUUAACCUAGUGUCGAGAACAUAGGUUGAGAAUUGAGCCUAGAGUUAAAGUAAACCUAGGAUACGUGAUAAAGGCAUUGAACCUAGAGUCAGUUGGACCUAGGGUGAAAAGGACACUGGAUAUAACACACUGGACCUGUGCAAAUUGCGAGGUUCGAGUGAUUGGAUGUGUUUCGAGCUUUUCCACACUUGGUGAAGGGUUAUGGAAUAUUUUUCGAUCCAAAAAGUCCGAAAACUUGAGUUCUGGAUGAGUCCUGAGAGUUUUUACUCUCGGGGACCGGUCCCUGAUAGGAGAGACCGGUCCCCCAGUGAGCAGUGUUGCGCUGUCGGCGAGGCAACCGGUCCCUGGCGGGCGAGAUCGGUCCCCGAGCACGUCUUCACAGUGAGAGACCGAUCCCGCGCGGGGAGAGACCGGUUCCCGAACGAUGGUUUCUCGAGUUCGACACGAGAGACCGGUCCCUUGCAGGGAGAGACCGGUCCCUCUGGGCGAAAUCUGCCCAGACCGGGCUGAUGCAAUUUUGGCUUUUUGAGGGACCUCCUUGGAUUUUGUUACUUUGGAGGGCCUAAAUAGCCAUUCCACCCUCUCCUUUCCUCAUUUCCUUAUUCUCACCCUCUCCCUACACCUUCUAGAGAGAGAAGAAGGAGGAGGAGAAGAAGAAGAAGAGGAGCUUACUUAAGGGAGCUUGGAGCUCAACCACCUUUCUCUCCUUUCCACCUUUGCAAGGCUUGGAGCUUACUUGUAGGGCUUGUUAGUGGACCAAUCCUCAACCCUAGAAGAUUUGGAGCUUGUUUGGAGGCGUCUUGAGAGGUUAGUACUUCGAUUCUACCCUUUGAUCCUUGUUUUGGUAGAUUUUUCUAUAUGGAACCCUAGAAUGGGAUUUUAAGGUUGAUUUUGGAGCUUUUUGAUCUAGGGCUUUUGAGGCUAGAUUUCUUGAGUUAGAACCCUCCUUUGGGUUAGAUUGGAAGGAUCCUAGCCUUCUUUUGGAGCUUGAGAGAGAAUUUCUACUCCCUAGGUGAGUUUUUGCCCUUUUCUUGUGGUUGUUAAUUUAUGAGCCUAGAGUUGCUCGUAACGCUCGUGUCUCUUCGCUCAUUACUUUCAGGGUAUUUUGAGACUCGUGGACAACUUCUUUCGGCGAAACGAAGGACACCGCGACGGUUCGGUGGGUUUGACCUAGCCUGGCAUAUGAGAAAUUCUCAUAUGCUAUGUUUUAUGCUUGUAGAGUAAAAAAUUCAUGCAUUUCUAUGUUAAAUGUAUUUAUUGUGAAUUUUAGGAUGCUUAACAUGCCUAUAUUAUGUGUAAGAAAUUUCGGGCCCCUAUAUAGUAGAGGGCUACCAUGUGGGACUUGUACAUGAUUGGCAUCCUAUUGAGACUUGGAAUCAUAUUUCCUAGUGUGAAAAUGAGCAUUACCUUCAUGCAUUUUAAGCUAUUCCUACUUGAGACUUAAAGGAUCUUAGUAAGCCAUAAAGAGGCAUAUGAUAAGAUUGACAUGUGAGAUCGUGAGCUAAUGUCAUAAAGCGGCAUUGAGCUCGGGUUGUGUGGGAACCUAGUGGAUAGGGCCAUUGAGAGAAUUGGAAUAUAUUUGUACAUCGAAAUGUCUAAGUGUCAUAAAGAGGCAUUAGACUUAGUGAAUGAUAGGAGCUUCACAUUGUGAUCUAGAGCUAGAUCAUUGAGAUGCUAGUGACUAUUACCAUGUUAGAAACAUGAUGAUUGGGUACUUGAGACGAUGAUUACGCUUGCUUGCAAUAUGUGCUCAUUCGCACAUGCUUGUGAGGGUCGCUCCCUACAAACCGGCACUCCGGAGUUGGCCUACGCGACUUAUGUUCGCUCGUGCAGUAUCGAGAAACCUACGGGGUUGGGAGGGAUAGACUCAUUCCUAGAGUGGGAAUGCUGGAGCUACCACCGACACUUAGUGUAAUAUACCGAAAAUUCGGAAAAUAAAGAUGUCGAAUUUUAGUCAAAUUGACCAAAGUGCGAGGACGGUGCACUUCGGAAAGUCCGAAGGUGUUAAAAUGAUUAAAAGCGAGUUACGGGAGGUUUUCGAGAGCUAAAGAAUCAAAUUCUGCAAAACUGCAGAUUUUGAGCUCUCGGGGACCGGUCCCUGGUGGGAGAGACCGGUCCUCGAACGCGUGAGAAAUGAGACAGCCGAAAAAUCGGCUAAGUCCUGAGAAACUAGCUCUCGGGAACCGGUCCCUGCCUGAGAGACCGGUCCCCGAGAGACCGGUCCCCCAAAGAGAGACCGGUUGCCCUGCGCGCAGCAACUCUGGCUGCGCGGGGAGAGCCUUCGGGAACCGGUCCCUGAAGGAGAGACCGGUCCCCACCUGCGCGAACAGCCCAGUCCAGGCAGUGUACAGAGAUAAAAGUUGAGAGGUUUAUUUGCAUUUUUGCAACCCAAUAGCUAUGUAUGAGGGCAAAUGAGAUAUUUCUCUCAUUUCCUCACCCUCUUACACUCUCUUCUCUCCCUCUCCCUCUCUAGAAGACAAAGGAGAAGAGGAAGACAAGGGAAAGGAAGGAAAAGAAGGAAAAAAGGUGAAGAAGAAGAUCAAGAGGUGAAGCAACUUCAUCUUCUUCCUCUCUAGUGCAAGAAAUGAAAGCUUAUAAGAUGAGCUUUGAACCCUAUUGUAGUAAAACCCUAAAAUGGGCUUUGAAUAAACCUAGAAAUGGUUUUAAUGGAUUGUUUAGAGUCUUUGAAGCUUUCUUUUUGCUUCUUUAGAGAUCAAAGCCAUGGUUUAGCUUGAGGUGAGCUUUGGCCACCUCUAAUGGUGAAAUCCAAACUAGGGUUUGGAAUGAGCUAGGAAUGGUUUAGAUGAACUCUUUAGAGUAUAUUGAAGCUACUUUUGCUUCCCAAUGAGAUCAAACCCUAGGUUUGAUAUAUGUAUUGGAGCUAGGGCACCAAAUUGGGGCUUUUGCUCAUGGGUUAUUUUAGUAGAGAUUUUGGGCGUCUGUGUGCCGGGCAGGGAAGAACGAGGAUCCUUAAAAUUCAAAAAAAUCGCGAAGUCACCUAUGAAAGCCCUACGAGUGUGGUGGUGGUGGCUUUCAACUCGUGAACUUCUCUCUAUGGCCUUAAUGUUGCAUUUCAAUUUGGAGCCAUUAUUGUACAGCUUUGUUUGCAUUUGCUAUUUUUAGGGUAAAAGAGAUAAUGAGAGAUUUGUUGUUGUGCAUUUUAUUUUGGAUACAAACUUGCGCUAAUAUGAUUGGAGUAAUCCUAUAUAAAUCGAAAAACCCUAUGCUGUAGUCAUAGAAGAAAAGUAGCAUCGUCCAAAGUGAGCAUAAAAAGCAGAGUGCACUUGUGACAUAGAUGCGAGUGGCAUUUGAAACUAAAGUAAAUGACAUCUAGAUUAGUGUAGCCCAAAGAACCAAAGUGAUGUACAAAGAAUGAUGCAUAAUGACAAUGUGAAAGUUAAAGUAAAGUGAGGCACAUAAGAAUAAGAAUGUAAAGAACAAGAAUCUAAAGUUAGCAAAAGUAAGGAAAUGAUAAAGACACGCAAUCGACUGGCUAGAGUAGCAAACACGUGAAGUGACGUAAAGAACGACUAGAGUUAGUGGUAAAGUCAAGAUUGAACUAAUUCUUUGAGCUAAGGAAUUCGAUCAUCACUUGCAUGAGUUCCGUGCUCGAGGGCGUCGGCUCUCCCCUCGGCGGUGCGCUCCCGGAAGUUAUGCAUCCGGUUGGAGUAAACACGACGAAGGACGGUCCUAAGCGGUGAGUUCCUGCGAUGAAAUGGAUUUAAAUUGAAGCAAGCAAUGUGCGAACCCCGCGGCUUAGCCUUCGAGAUCAAAGAAUAAAGAAUAAAGAACAAAGAUCAAAGAACAAAAGAACAAUAGUAAAAGAUAAAGAACGAAAGAACUGCAUAAUCCUGCAUAUUUAAUGUUGAGCAUAUUCCUUGCUUAUUGUCAGGCAAAUAUUAGCAUCAUGUGUACAUUGUUACAAUAUUUCAGGCUUAUUCCUUUCUAUUAUCAGUUGAGUUAGUCCUAUGCUGGGGAAUCAGUCGUGGAUGUGUGGCGCGACACCCACUGGUAACUUUGUGUUGUGUUUCCACCCCACUAUUUCCACAGAGCCGGGACCGAGGCGAGCCGCGAGCGUACCGAGGUAAGAGAUAUCGCCGCCUUAUCAAGAUCAGCCACCAAAGUGGUUUCAUUUUGUAGUUAAAGUACCUCUAUGCAUGCCCUCUUGUACAAUGAUGGUAAAUGUGUAAAGGAAAAAAUGUAAUGGUAUUANNNNNNNNNNNNNNNNNNNNNNNNNUUCUAAGUGCAUGAAUUACCCUCAGAAACAGCUAAUUGGGGGUAUUUCCGACGCCGUUGGUGCGCUCGGUUAAGUUACGAAGAGUUUAUAGGAAAGAUAGUUGGGCAAAAGUGGCUAGUUGGCUUCGGUUUUGCCGCAGGUGAAGAACGAGAGCCAUACACUCUCAAGAAAAUCGUCGAAGGACCUUUGAAAGCCUAACGAGGUGGGUGGUGCUUUCCCAACUCCGUGAACUUCUCUCUAUGCUAAUGUGUCAAUUCAAUUGAGGCAUGAUGUACAUAUUUUUUUUUUUUUUUUUUUUUUUUUUUUUUUUUUUUUUUUUUUUUUUUUUUUUUUUUUUUUUUUUUUUUUUUUUUUUUUUUUUUUUUUUUUUUUUUUUUUUUUUUUUUUUUUUUUUUUUUGUUGCAAUCAUUUUAGGGUAAAGAGAUGAUGAGAAUGUGAGUUGCUUAUUGUGAGUUAAACUUUCCUAAUAUGAUGGUGAGAACCUAUAAAUGUAAAAACCCUAUGUGUAUGCAUGAGAGAAAAGUGAGCAUCGUCCAAAGUGAGCAAAGAACAGAGUGACACUUUGACAUAGAUCGAGUGGCAUUUGAAUACGUAAAGUAAAGUGACACUAGUUAGUGUGAGCCAAAGAACCAAAGUGAUGUAAAGAAUGAUGUAAUGACAAUGUGUAAAGUUAAAGUAAAGUGGGCAAUAAGAAUAAGAAAUGUAAAGAACAAGAAUCUAAAGUUAGCAAAAGUAAGGAAAUGUAAAGAACCAAUGAUGCUAGAGUAGCAACAUGAAGUGACGUAAAGAAACUAGAGUUAGUGGUAAAGUCAAGAUUGAACAUAUUAACCUUUGAGUUAAGAUUCGAUCAUACUUGCUAUGAGUUCCGUGCUCGGAGGGCGGUCGCGUCUCCCUCGGGCGAUGCGCUCCGGAGUUAUGCAUCACGGUUGGAGUAAACCACGAGGACGGUCCUAGCGUGAGUUCCUGCGAUGAUGGAUUAAAUGUGAAGCAAGUCAAUGUGCGAAACCCCGCGGGUUAGCCUUGAGAUUAAAGAAUAAAGAAUAAAAAACAAAGACAAAGAACAAAAGAACAAGUUAAAGAUAAAGAACGAAAGAACUUGCAUAAUCUGCAUAUUGUUAAUGUUGAGCAUAUCCUUGCUUAUUGUUCAGGCAUAUUAGCAUCAUGUUGUAGAUUGGUUACAUAUUUUCAGGCUUAUCCUUUCUAUUAUGCCGUGAGUUAGUCCUAUGGGGAAAAGUCGGUGAUGUUGGGCCCGAACCACUGGAACUGUUGUUGUGGUUUCUCACCCCACUAUUUCACAGAGCCGGGACCGAGCGAGCCGCGAGCGACCGAGGUAAGAGAUAUCGCGCCUUAGUCAGAAGCCACCAAAGUUGGGUUUCAUUUUGUAGUAAAGUACCUCUAUGCAUCAUCUUGUACAUGAGUGGUAAAUGUGUAAAGAAAAAGAAUGUAAUGUGUAUUGAGGUAAAUGCGAUGUAAGAAAGAAAUGAUGAAAUGAAAUUGAAGGAAUUCGAAAAUGAACAAGAUGAAUGCAUGUAUAUGAUCAAAAAUGAAUCAUAGUCAAGUAAAAUGUUUAGUUCCUUUCUGUUCACUCGUGGCUAUUGCUUACCCUCGUGUAAGCCGUUUGUGUAUUUUCCGCUAGUAGCUUUUCUCUAUUGAUGAAAAUGUACAUGUGUGAGCCUUGGGCGAUAGGGGAACUCUGUCCGUUCGGCGUCUGUUUGACGUGCUCGGUCGGCCAAAUUGGUAUCGGUCGGGCGUGACAACUGUAGGUGGCACAAGCUGGACUACAAUAUUGGGUCCUCGAAACAUGUUGGAAAUAAUGACAUUUGAUCGAGAGAUGAUAAUCACUACUAGAUAGGUUUAGUAGUUGGAUUACUAUGACAUGCUUUAGCAUAGUGUUGAGACGUAGUAUACUCGAUAGUUUAUUUAUUGCCAGCAUCAGUACACUUGCUACGAUGAUAGAGCAUAUUCAUCAUACAUUGACAUUGUGAUCAUGUUACUACCUGUUCGUUCUGUUUGGACAUAUUAGUCAUGUUUGGACUUACUUCAUUGGGAUAAAGUAGAUUACACACUUUUCGACAUCAUGUAUACUUUUGAUAUAGUAGCUUUAGCAAUUAUUUAUGCUUUCAUAAUGCAACUAUUUCGUUGCUAUUGCCUUGUCGACUUACCUUUUCUUUGGCCUAGUGGCUGCAUUGAAGCUGAGGCAGAGUAAUUGGCCCCUGGGGAACAUAUAAAUAUAGUUCUCACGCGUAUUUUGAGGUAAAUGUGAUGUAAGAAAGAAAUGAUGAAAUGAAAUUUAAGGAAUUCGAAAAUGAACAAGAUGAAUGCAUGUAUAUGAUCAAAAAUGAAUCAUAGUACAAGUGAAUGUUUAGUUUCCUUUUCCUUUCACUCGUGGCUAUUGCUUACCCUCGUGUAAGCCGUUUGUGUAUGUUUCCGCUAGUGCUUUUCUCUAUUGAUGAAAAUGUACAUGUGAUGAGCCUUGGGCGGAUAGGGGAAACUCUGUCCGUUCGGCGUCUGUUUGACGUGCUCGGGUCGGGCCAAAUUGGUAUCGGUCCCGGGGCGUGACACUUAGGUGGCACAAGCUGGACUACAAUAUGUGGGUCCUAGAACAUGUUGGAAAUAAUGACAUUUGAUCGAGAGAUGAUAAUCACUACUAGAUAGGUUUAGUAGUUGGAUUACUAUGACAUGCUUAUAGCAUAGUGUUGAGACGUAGUAUACUCGAUAGUUUAUUUAUUGCAGCAUAGUACACUUGCUACCAUGAUAGAGCAUAUUCAUCAUACAUUGACAUUGUGGAUCAUGUUACUUACCUGUUCGUUGUGUUUGGACAUAUUAGUCAUGUUUGGACUUACUUCAUUGGGAUAAAGUAGAUGUACACACUUUCGACAUCAUGUAUACUUGUGAUAUAGUAGCUUAGCAAUUAUUUAUGCUUUCAUAAUGCAACUAUUUCGUUGCUAUUGCCUUGUCGACUUACCUUUUCUUUUGGGGCCUAGUGGUGCAUUAAGCUGAGGUCAGUAAUUGGCCACUGGGAACUAUAAAUUAUAGUUCUCACGCCCUCUAUUUUAUGUCUUCUUUUAGAGCCUUCCACGCCGGGAGAGGCUAUGGACCACGGGAAGGGCGUUGCUUCGAGCUAGCUCUUCUGCAAGGGACGAGUGGAUAGGUGGUCUACCUCUCGAUGUUUUUAUUUUGGAGAGGUUGAGAGCUGUACCAGUGUACUAGAGACCCCCCCUUUGUGUACUAUUUUGGGAGACGUUAUUGUACUACUUUAUGUUCUACUCUUAUUAUUUUUGUAUACCUCUUUUACCUUGUUAUAAACUAUAGAUCUAUCUGUGCUCUGAUAUCUCUAGAUGUAGGUUACUUUUGGUUUAUUUUUCUGCUGUUGUUGUAGACGCCUUAUAUGUGUGGACAUAUGGCGGGUCUGGGCACGCCACCGGGAGGGCCUCUGCCGGUCCCGGGGCGUGACAGAUUAUUUUGGUAUCAGAGCCUAGGGUUGAGUCUUAGUGGACCUAGCAAACCUUAGGCCGGUUGGCCUAUAGGAAAUAGGCUCGUGAGAGACGAGGUCUAUUCGACUUGUGAGCGAAAGUAUUAUUGUAACACACUCGACCUGUGCAAAUUGCGAGGUUCGAGUGUUCGAUUUGUAUUUCGAACUUUUCCACACUUGGUGGAGGGCCGUCGAUGGUAUACCGGUCUAAAAGUUCGAUCUCGAGAGUUUUGGCAGAGUCCUAAGAGUUUUUACUCUCGGGGACCGGUCCCUGAUAGGAGAGACCGGUCCCCCAGUGAACAGUGCUGCGUGGCCGGCAAGGCAACCGGUCCCUGGCAGUCGAGACCGGUCCCCGAGCGCGUCUGCGCGGGGAGAGACCGGUCCCGCGCAGGGAGAGACCGGUUCCCGAACGUUGGAUUUUCGGGGGCAGGCUGAGAGACCGGUCCCAGGUCGGGGAGACCGGUCCCUCUGGGCGAAAACUGCCCAGACCGGGCUGAUGUAAAUUUGAGUUUUUGAGGGGCCUAUGUGGAUUUUGUUACUUUAGAGGCUAUAAGCAGCCUCUCCUCCCCUCUCACUCUCAUUUUCUCUCCCUCACACUCUUCCUACACUUCUAGAGAGAGAAAGGGAAGGAGAAGAAGGAGAAGGAGAGGAGAAGAGCUUGCUUGGAGGCCUUGGAGCACCAUCUUCUUCCUCAUUUCCCACCUUUGGAGGCUUGGAGCUUGCGGUUGGAGCUUUGUGGAGGAUCAAACUUCAACCCUACUUGGUUUUGAGCUUGGAUUGGGGCUUCUCUUGAGGUUGGUAGCUUGUAAUCCCCAUUUGUUACAUGCUUUCCUAGGUUUUACUAGAUGAAACCCUAGAUUUUGGGAUUUAGGGUUUAUUUUGGGGGUUUUUGAAUUUGGGGGCUUUGGAACCAAAUUGAUGGGUUUAGAACCUUUGUUUAGGUUAGAUUGGAAGGACUCUAACUCCCAUUUGGAGAUCGUGAGAGCCUUCUUCGCAAUCGGUAAGUUUUCUCCAACCCUAGCUUGAGGAGCUUAAUGAUUGAGCUAUUUGCUCUUCGUUUCGUUUGGGUGACCCUAUUUUUGAUGUUUCUAGGGUACUAGGGAGCUUGUGGAUACCUUCGUUCGGCGAAACGAAGAAGUCGAUUUUGGUGGGUUUGACUUCAUGAAAAUAGGGCAAAAUGGCCCCUAUGCCUUCUAAACUUUUCGUAAAGUAUUUUUGAAUGCAAAUUCAUGCUAAAUAUGAUUUAUGUGAAUUUUAGAACACUUAACAUGCAUGCCUCAUAUAUCGUAAAAUUUGUACUCCAUAUAGUAGAGCUAUAUGUGUAGAUUGCAUGCAUUGUGAAUAGUGCUUGGUUUUACAAGUUGAGAACAUGUCUCCAUGCUAGAGUUGAGUGAAUUUAAGCGUCAUGAACAUAUUAAUGCCAUGCUUGGAACUCGUUGAACCAAAGUGUCAUCAAGGGGCACUUGAAACUAGUAAACUAUUAAACUGCAACCUAGGGACAUGUUGAUAGGCCACUAUAUAUCUGCUACAUUCCAUGUUAGAGACAUGAUGACAUAGAGAUAGGCCAUUGAGAUACUUGACAUAUUCCAUAUUUUUAGACAUGAGGACUUGGUACUUGAGACAGAUCAUUGCUUGCUUGCCAUUUGUGCUCAUUCGCACAUGCUUGUGAGGGUCGCUCCCUACAAGCCGGCACUCCGGAGAUAGCCAUCGCGACACAUGCUCGCCGUGCGGGAUUGGGCGCCGAAGUGGAUUGCCGUGGGGGAGGCUCAUCCCUAGAGUGGGGAUGUUGACUACCACGGGGCCAUUAGGCACGGCGCAGGCCAGACAGCCUUCGGGUGGGUCUUAUAUGAUUGGGACUUAGUGACAGAACGUGCUAUGUGAACUUUAAAACUAUUAAAGUAGACUUGGACUAGAAUAGUAAACAAUGGCAUCUUUACUAUUUUUGCAUUGAGGACAUCGGAUUGGUUGUAUUUCUAUGAUGAUGCAUGUCAUACACAUCCAUAUACAUUCAUGAUAUCGUUGCUUCAUUACUUGUACAAAUCAUGCUAAAUAGAAAGUCUAUGUUAUAGUGAGUUACAUUUUACUUACCUGUCGCUUUACUACAUUGUUAGUCACUGACCUCUUUUUGUAGCUUUGGGCCUUGUGGUGCAUUCACUGAAGUCAGUAAUUGCCCACUGGGAACUAUUUUUAAUAGUUCUCACGCCCCUGUUUCAUUGUUUACUUUUCAGAGCCUUCGGCACCGGCGGAGCGUGAGAUUGGCCUAGGUGGUUUGCUCUUUCUUUUGUAGUUGGGAGAGUGAGAGAUUUUGUAUCCAUGUGUAGAGACCACCUAUGUACCUACUUUUAGCACUUGUAUUUGGGAUUUCCUAUUGUAUUUACUUUAUGUCUUAUUUAGUGAAUUUACUGUUUUAUCCCUUGUUGUAGCAUUUAGACACUUACUAUGCUCUGAUACUUCUAGAUGUCUUCUGUUAUUGCUUUUAUUAUUGUUGUUAGUAGACGCCUUAUAUGUUUUAGACGUAUGGCGGGUCUGGGCACGUGCCGGGCGGGCUUCCGCUGGGCCCCGGGGCGUGACAAUUAUGAUUGGGUCUUAUGACAACUCUAAAAAGUUGGAGUUUAAUCGGAGUGCAUGACUUCUAGCUUCGCGGAGGGUUUCGUUAGCGGCCGACAACCUAACAUUGGGAGUUAGUUGUGGAUGACACUUCCUUAUUUUCGCAUGAUUUGGGUACUGUUAUUUGAGUGGGGAUUCGAUAGCGCGGGUUACUAAUUUGCGCUUUUAUGUUCUGUAGUGACGAUGCCGAUUACAUGCUCUCAAUCUGCGGGAGCGGACAAUGCAGUGCAGUUUGAGGAGGCUGAGACCUCCGCUACCUCCGGAUCCGGCGAGGUCCGUGAGUUGAGGGGCCAGCUGGCAGCCCUCACUGAUUUGGUGACGCGACAGGCAGACACGGCGCUUCCACAGGAGGCGCGGAUGAAGUGCCUAGAGGACCUUCUGCUGCAGCAGGCGACGGCCAGGAAAACUCAGAUCCCUACACCUCCCGCACCAGUAGAAGUGGUUGCGCCCAGGGUGUCGUCCCCUGCACUCGACGCUUCUAGGACGGCACCAGCGGCGGCACCUCGGGGAGAGGACAUCGCGGCACCACCAGCGCGAGCAUCUGUAGCGGGGGCGGUUUUCCCCGUGAUGGUUGAGGGAGCUGAGCGGGAUCGGCUCAUGGA
rnacentral:lncRNA from 1 species